GGGCGCAUAGCUCAGCGGGAGAGCAUUCGCCUUACAAGCGAAGGGUCGCAGGUUCGAUCCCUGCUGCGCCCA
rnacentral:tRNA from 1 species